GACGGAUGGACCGGCCGUGUCCUGCAGCGGCCUGGGUUGCUGAUCUUCUCCCUCGGUGUUGCUGCUGACUGGAUCUCCUGUACCCUGGUGGAGCUGAAUCCCAGACUCUGCAGUGAAGUGGUCCUUUUCUCCCCCAUUGAUGCGUGGCAGCCUUAACAACAGAUGAGUCAGCAGCAGCCCAGUCUCCCCCUAACUGAGCCCCUCCCUGUCCCAGUGAAGAAGUGACGUCCCUGGACUCGGCUAUUCAAAGCCCCGCUGAAGCAGAUAUUCUGUGCCGGCGCCAGGAGAAACACGGAGCUGACUCCAGGCUGGACUGGACUUGGUUGUUGUUUCACCCUGGGACAGAAUAUUGGACAAUCCAUGGUUCUAUUGUCUCCC